rnacentral:rRNA from 1 species
GUCGAGUGCGCGUGCCGUAGCAAUACGGUAUGGCGCACGGCGCACGGGUGCGUAACACGUGGGCAAUCUGCCCUCCGGUGGGGAAUAACCCCGCGAAAGCGGGGCUAAUUCCGCAUAACAUUCCCUGGACUCUGGUUCGGGGAUUCAAAGCAGCAAUGCGCCGGAGGAGGAGCCCGCGCCCGAUUAGCUAGUUGGUGAGGUGACGGCUCACCAAGGCAAUGAUCGGUAGCUGGUCUGAGAGGAUGGCCAGCCACACUGGAACUGAGACACGGUCCAGACUCCUACGGGAGGCAGCAGUGGGGAAUCUUGCGCAAUGGGCGAAAGCCUGACGCAGCGACGCCGCGUGGGGGAUGAAGCUUCUCGGAGUGUAAACCCCUUUCGACCGGGACGAAUGCCCGCAAGGGAGUGACGGUACCGGUAGAAGAAGCCCCGGCUAACUACGUGCCAGCAGCCGCGGUAAGACGUAGGGGGCCAGCGUUGUUCGGAAUUACUGGGUGUAAAGGGUUCGUAGGCGGUGUGGCAAGUCGGGAGUGAAAUUUCUGGGCUUAACCCAGAAGCUGCUUCCGAAACUGCUGUGCUAGAGUGCGGGAGAGGCGCGUGGAAUUGCAGGUGUAGCGGUGAAAUGCGUAGAUAUCUGCAGGAACACCCGUGGCGAAAGCGGCGCGCUGGACCGUUACUGACGCUGAGGAACGAAAGCUAGGGGAGCA